UAGGGACAAUCUGGAUGUCAAAAGC
rnacentral:piRNA from 1 species